rnacentral:rRNA from 1 species
UCUACAGAAUCCUGAGGAACUCAGGAGUGCCUUCGGGGAACUGUAAGCAGGUGGUGCAUGGUUGUCGUCAGCUCGUGUCGUGAGAUGUUGGGUUAAGUCCCGCAACGAGCACAACCCCUACGUUUAGUUGCUAACGCGUGAAGGCGAGCACUCUAGACGAACUGCCGUUGACAAAACGGAGGAAGGUGGGAUGACGUCAAAUCAUCAUGCCCCUUAUGUUCUGGGCUACACACGUGCUACAAUGGCCGGUACAGACGGACGCAAAGCCGCGAGGUGGAGCAAAUCCUAAAAAGCCGGUCUCAGUUCGGAUUGCAGGCUGCAAUUCGCCUGCAUGAAGUCGGAAUCGCUAGUAAUCGCAGGUCAGCAUACUGCGGUGAAUACGUUCCCGGGCCUU